rnacentral:rRNA from 1 species
UACGUAGGGUGCAAGCGUUAAUCGGAAUUACUGGGCGUAAAGCGUGCGCAGGCGGCUUUGCAGGACAGAUGUGAAAUCCCCGGGCUCAACCUGGGAACUGCAUUUGUGACUGCAUGGCUAGAGUACGGUAGAGGGGGAUGGAAUUCCGCGUGUAGCAGUGAAAUGCGUAGAUAUGCGGAGGAACACCGAUGGCGAAGGCAAUCCCCUGGACCUGUACUGACGCUCAUGCACGAAAGCGUGGGGAGCAAACAGG